AGCUGGAGCACUGGGGCAUCUCAUA
rnacentral:piRNA from 1 species